rnacentral:rRNA from 1 species
AGCAGUUACUACGCCACCUGGUGGAUGACUAGGCUCGGUUGCCGAAGACGGUCGUGCCAAGCAGCGAUAUGCUUCGGGGAGGCGCAUGGAGCCUUUGAUCCGAAGAUUGCCGAAUGGGACUUCCCAAACUCUAGUAGUUUAAUCCGAAAGGAUGGGGAACGCUCCGAAUUGAAACAUCUUAGUAGGAGCAGGAAAAGAAAUCAAAUGAGAUGAGGUUAGUAAAGGCGAUCGAACACCUCAUAGAGCAAUCCGAAUCUUCUGAUGAGAAUCAGUAGAAAUGUGGAGUGGCCUGUUUACAUCUUAACACAGUUAUCCGAAUUUCGUGUGGAACACCGGCGCCAAAGAGGGUGAUAGCCCCGUAGGAGACGCAGUGAAAGAUGAUUUUCAGGACCCAAGAGUAGCGUGCAUUGGAUAUUGCGCGUGAAUGUGGGAGGUACUAACUUCCAACUCUAAAUACAAACCGAGACCGACAGCGCAAUAGUAGCGUGAGCGAAAGUUGUAAAGUAUCCCUGACGGGAGAUUAAUAAGAUCCUGAAAUCAGGUGGUAACAGACUGGUAUGGCAUGCAAGGGAUUAAGCGGUUACACCGCCGCACCGAUGUCAUACCGUUCGAUUCGAAAAUUGAUCCGUGGAGUUUCUAUCAUUGGCGAGGUUAAGUACGUAAGUACGAAGCCGUAGGGAAACCGAUAGCCCGCAGCGCAAGCGAGGGGCAAGGUGUGCUCGCCUGGAGUCAAUGGUUGGAUACCCGAAGCCGGUCGAUCUAUGCCUGGGCAGGGUGAAGCCUUUCGGAAGAAGGGUGGAGGCCCGAACCAGUACUGAUGUGCAAAUCGUUUGGAUGACCUGGGUAUAGGGGCGAAAGACCAAUCUAGACCGGCAAUUGCUGGUUCCUCUCGAAACUGCUCGCAGGCAGACCUCAGCAGAGACGGGGCAUGCGGUAGAGCACUGAUUGCGUGUUUAGGAAGCGAAAGUUUUCGGCAUGCUGUCAAACUCCGAAUGUGUGUCCGUUGUAGAAGCUGGGCAGUGAGGGCAUCGGGGUAAGCUUGAUGUCCAUAAGGAAAACAAACCAGACCAAAGUUAAGGUCCCUAAGUAAUAGCUAAGUGUUAAAGAACAAAUAGUGUUUAACAGCAUAGACAGCUGGAAGGUUGGCUUAGAGGCAGCCAUCCUUUAAAGAGUUCGUAACAGAUCACCAGUCAAGUUCUUGAGCCUAGAAAAUGGACGGGACUAAGUUGUUCACCGAUACUUUGGGCCACCGAAAGGUGAUGCGGUAGAGAGGCGUCGUGCGCGGGUGGAAGUGGGGCCGUGAGGUCCUGUGGACCGCGUUCGAAUGAUAAUCAUGGAAAGAGUAGUAGCGUAGAUGGGUGAGAAUCCCAUCCGCCGGAGGGGCUAGGGUUCCUCGACGAUGUUCAUCAGUCGAGGGUUAGUCGGUCCUAAGGUUCCCCCUAACAGGAGGAAUCGAAAGGGAAGCAGGUUAAAAUUCCUGCACCAAUUCAUAUUUUGUCCAGUUCCUGACACAUCGGGUCUUGUGGAGCACUCUUGUCGGAGUGUUGCCUUAAACAAUAAAUUUGUGGAGUACCGUAAUGGUGAGAAGCAAACUAAGUUUUUGGGAGGCGGAGUAUUUCGCUUCUGCGUUAGCCUGGUGUCCGUGAAAAGGGAGCUGGAGUCGUAUGAGUUGUCCGUACCGAGAUCUGACACAGGUGCCCCUAGGUGAGUAGCCUAAGGCGUCGCGGCAGAAUCCGGGCGAGGGAAUUCGGCAAAUUAGCCCCGUACCUUUGGUAUAAGGGGUGCCAGCUCUGAAGAGAGCUGGUCGCAGUGACUAGGGAGCUCCGACUGUUUAUUAAAAACACAGGUGGCUGCUAGUCCGUAAGGAUGUGUAUAGCCGCUGAAUCCUGCCCAGUGGCAGUAUCUGAAACCAGGUUUCAANCUGACGAAGGACUGCUAAACGGCGGGGGUAACAAUGACCCUCUUAAGGUAGCGUAAUACCUUGUCGCUUAAUUGGCGACUUGCACGAACGGCCUAACGAGAGCUCUACUGUCCCCGC